rnacentral:misc_RNA from 1 species
UCCUGGUUAAGAGGAAGUCGAUUUAGCUUCUAUGUUGCCCACUUUUGAAGUCACUAAAUGUGACUCUCCUCAUGGAUUAAGAAUGUAUUCUUUUAAAUUCUUGAAACAACUAUUUGAUUAUAUCAAUCGAAGAUCCCCGCCAUAAUCAGUUGAAAAGAAUACUCGUACACACAGACCCUAACCACCACAAUCCACCAUCAGCUCUUUGGAUGCCCACAUAAUAAAACUAGCCAUGAAAAUUCAAAAAUUGAAUGGAAAUACAGAAAUAAAAGAAGCCUAAAUAGCCACUUCCACAACAAAAGAAACCCUCCAAUUUGUUAAUAGUUCCUUUCGUCCCAUCUUGUACUAAAAUCCUCUGAAAUAUCCAUAUUUGUUGAUUGAAUUCUUAAAAUUAAAAUUUCCAUCAGGAAACUCUGUUUAAAACAGCCAUAGCUCGCUCCCUCCCUCCCUCCCCUCUUGUGGGAACUUGGUUUUUAAAAAAAUAAAAAAGAAAUGAAGAAUGUAGGAGCAAUUACCUUGAUCUCUAUGCCUUUGACAACAAUAGGGAGCCUCCCAAUUUUGAUAGAGAGAGAAAAGCGAAUGAAGGUGGGUGAUGAAUAGUGUUGAGAUUUUUGAGAGAAGCAAAGUACCCUCUGGGUGUAAGUAAACACAAAAGUUAAAAUGAGGUCAUGUAAGGAAAUAAUUUUAAUGUUAUUUGCUAGGCUUGGCUGUGGCAUUAGCAGCUUAUUAUUAUUAAAACACCAUUUCCUCCUGCAAUUUUCGCCAAACUACAGGUGGAAUGUCAUUUACUUGACAUGGCUGGGGAGUAGCAACUAAUGUGUUCUUUUUUUUUUUUUAAUAAUUUAUUAUCUCCUCG